CCUACGGGAGGCAGCAGUAGGGAAUCUUCCACAAUGGACGAAAGUCUGAUGGAGCAACGCCGCGUGAGUGAAGAAGGGUUUCGGCUCGUAAAACUCUGUUGGUAGUGAAGAAAGAUAGAGGGAGUAACUGGCCUUUUUUUGACGGUAAUUACUUAGAAAGUCACGGCUAACUACGUGCCAGCAGCCGCGGUAAUACGUAGGUGGCAAGCGUUGUCCGGAUUUAUUGGGCGUAAAGCGAGUGCAGGCGGGUUCUUAAGUCUGAUGUGUAAGCCUUCCGCUUAAACGGGGAAGUGCAUUCGGAACUG
rnacentral:rRNA from 1 species